rnacentral:rRNA from 1 species
AACGAACGCUGGCGGCAGGCUUAACACAUGCAAGUCGAGCGGACCCUUCGGGGUUAGUGGCGGACGGGUGAGUAACACGUGGGAACGUGCCUUUAGGUUCGGAAUAGCUCCUGGAAACGGGUGGUAAUGCCGAAUGUGCCCUUCGGGGGAAAGAUUUAUCGCCUUUAGAGCGGCCCGCGUCUGAUUAGCUAGUUGGUGAGGUAAAGGCUCACCAAGGCGACGAUCAGUAGCUGGUCUGAGAGGAUGACCAGCCACAUAGGGACUGAGACACGGCCCAAACUCCUACGGGAGGCAGCGGUGGGGAAUCUUGCGCAAUGGGCGAAAGCCUGACGCAGCCAUGCCGCGUGAAUGAUGAAGGUCUUAGGAUUGUAAAAUUCUUUCACCGGGGACGAUAAUGACGGUACCCGGAGAAGAAGCCCCGGCUAACUUCGUGCCAGCCGCCGCGGUAAAAC